UAGGGAAUCUUCGGCAAUGGACGAAAGUCUGACCGAGCAACGCCGCGUGAGUGAAGAAGGUUUUCGGAUCGUAAAACUCUGUUGGUAGAGAAGAACGUUGGUGAGAGUGGAAAGCUCAUCAAGUGACGGCAACUACCCAGAAAGGGACGGCUAACUACGUGCCGAG
rnacentral:rRNA from 1 species